AGCGGGGGAAGGAUGAGGAACCUAGACAACGAUGUCGAAACCUGGAAGGAGAGAGACGUUUCAGGAAUACAUGGAGCUGCCACAAAGUAUUAGAAGUUCUGGAAGGAUCAGAUCCAGGACCUGGGACAUGCCUAGACACAUGAGUACAAACGGAGCAGAGUUGGAUCCAAUCAGCAGGCCACCCACCAAGACAGGGAGAAAGAAGACACUGGUUUCUCCCACAGAGCACUGGAAGAGCUUUUGAUGGAAACAGGAGAUAAUGAUGUUUUGCCAUUGGCAAAUCCAAGUAGUGCCUAACCCGGUAACACACAUGCCACAUGCUCAAUAAAUGUUA